CCUCCUUUCUAAGGAUGAGUGAAAGUAAAAUUUCACUCUAAAUAAUAUACAUCGGUAAUGUUGACCGUCCUCAUUUCUCUUCUUAAAGUAAUGUUUCCUUCUUGUAGGGCCGGUAGCUCAGUUGGUUAGAGCACACCCUUGAUAAGGGUGGGGUCGAAAGUUCGAGUCUUUCUCGGCCCACCAAAAACCUAAAUGGGGGAUUAGCUCAUCUGGGAGAGCGCCUGAUUUGCAUUCAGGAGGUAGCAGGUUCGAUCCCUGUAUCCUCCACCAGGAAACAUUUAGUUAUUAAAACUGUAAAUAAAAAUAAUUUAUAUCAAUAUCUAUAUCCGAACAUUAAAAGUUAUUAUUUAAUGUUCAAAAUAAAAAUUUGAUCACAACAUAGAUUAAUCUUCUGUAAAAAGAAUUUUUCUCUGUGCAUAAAUCAAGCGUUUAAGGGCGUGUAGUGGAUGCCUGGGCACUGAAAGCCGAUGAAGGACGUGAUAUACUGCGAUAAGUUUCGGGGAGCUGUAUGUAAGCUUUGAUCCGAAAAUUCCGAAUG
rnacentral:misc_RNA from 1 species